UACGUAGGUGGCGAGCGUUGUCCGGAAUUACUGGGCGUAAAGCGCGCGUAGGCGGUCUGAUCAGCCGGUUGUGAAAGCCCCGGGCUCAACCUGGGAACGGCAUCCGGAACUGUCAGGCUAGAGUGCAGGAGAGGAAGGUAGAAUUCCCGGUGUAGCGGUGAAAUGCGUAGAGAUCGGGAGGAAUACCAGUGGCGAAGGCGGCCUUCUGGACUGACACUGACGCUGAGGUGCGAAAGCGUGGGUAGCAAACAGGAUUAGAUACCCCCGUAGUCCCU
rnacentral:rRNA from 1 species